rnacentral:lncRNA from 1 species
UUUUUUUUUUUUUUUUUUUUUUAAUACAUAAACAAUCUGUGAGGUACUUGGUUUCUUUUCACAAAUUGCACUUGACAGUAAAUGAUAACAGUUUCACCAGAAAUGUCCCACAUACCACAAAGACUAUGACCUCGUCUGCUAUCAAUAACAUAAAGUAAUAUCUGAGACACUCCAGGGACUACUAAAAGAGGAAACAGCAUCUACAGUAAUAAGUUCUUAAACCAGAAAAAUCUAAAAUGGUAACAUCAUUAAAUCCACUGCUGUGAGUAAUGGCAGACAUGGGUACAAGUCUCAGACCUAACCUUAAAUGUAAUGUAUUACUUCUGCUCCUACCAUUCCCUAGUGCGUAAUAUUGUUCUCUGCUGGAUGGAACAUUUGAGCUACCAAAAAGUUUGUGUUUGUUACUGAUGACAUACAGUCUGUGACAGCAAUAGACAAAAAGGGAAAUCAAGUUCUAUCUGCUCCUGAGAAAUUUUCCCAGGAGGCUGCAAAAAGGGAUUACUUGUUCUGAGGGAAAAAUAUGAGAAUUUAUUUACCUAUUUAGAAAAUUGUGCUGGAGAUUGGGCCUAGUGAAGUUUUUUGAGUAUGCUGUAAAAAAAAAAAAUCGGUUGUUUUUAAGAUUCCAGAUGACAGCUGUAAGUUCAGAGAGCAAAAAUUGAUGAGAAUAUUUGUUUGGGGUAGUGAAAAAUUACCUUUUAAUCAAAAUUAAUAUUUUUGAUCAGCUUGAAUUUUUUCAAUCACAACCACGGAGUCUAAAGGUUAAUGUAUUUACCUUCGCCUCUAAUCUUUUAUGCAUUUUUGCUUUUGCAACAUUACUAGUAAAAAAGAUAACAGAAAGAAAAGUGGAAAAGAAAAAAAAAAAACAGAGAGAAUUGAAAAUAAAUAAACAAGCCUUCCAGGGAAGCAUGAAAAUUCAUCAGCUGUUAUAAGUGAGUUUUAAGAAAAAAAUACAUUGCUUGUGAAAAAAAAAUGCUUUUUACUGCUAUUUUUAACACUUCUAGAAAUUUCUGGAAUAGUAUUUCAACCAUAUUAUAUUCUUGUCAACUGAAGCACUGUCACUAAAUGCGGUAAACAUUUACCUUGCAGGUACUUAGAGAAUAGAAAAGUAACGCAGACUAAUGUAGUCAGUAUGGUUUUACAAAAAUAGUUGCUCCUCCCCUACACAUUGCAAUGAAUCUCAUAUGCGUGAAAUUUCCUUAUACAAACACUUGUUAAAGAAAUAAAGCUUUGAGAUCUGUUAAUUAGAUUGGCACUAUCCACGGUUUUUUGAAUAGAAGCAGUAUUAUCCUAUCUUCUAAAUACUGUUCCCAGUGAAUAGAUUUAGCUGGCCUGUAUACAUACAGAGUGAGAAGGUGAAAUACUGAUACCAAACAGUUGUAAUCAAGUUUAAACAGCAUUUCUGGAGAUAUGUAAGUGUGAAGAAUUUCAUUAUAUUUUCAUCUGAUUCCAAUUUCCUGCUCUGAUCUGCUGUUUCCCAGAGGCUAUGUGACCCCAUGUUUAUUGUUCUGUUUCUUUUCUGAUGACUAAACGUUGUUAUUAUUAUUAUUAUUAUUAUUAUUAUUAUUAUUAUUAUUAUUGCAAACUUUAGUGGAAUAAAAGGCCUUUUGGUAUGGAUCCUCCACAUCCUUUAGAAAUACUGGGAUCAUGGGAUGAUGUGAAGUCUCACUCUAGUUAUAGUAAGAAAUCAUCCAGUCUAGAAUCCAGUGAGAAUAACUCCAGUGAAAGCCAAUACAAUUCCAUUGACAUGUGUCAUUGUGACAAAUCAGUGUAUUCUCCACUGGUCUUCAUGAGAAGUGAACUCUAUCUAUUUAGAAAAUAUACUGUGAAAACACAGAUGAGCUAGAAAUGUACAGAAAUAUUUAUAACCAAAAAUACAGACAGAAUAUUGAGCAGCUUCGUGUAAUCAGAAAGAAACCCACAGAAAACGGACUAGCUCUCAUCAAAUCAGUAAUGAAGCAUACUCAAAUGUGGAAUUAUAUUAAUGACCAUGUGCCAGACAGACACCUUUGUCUGUUUUGGAUGUGUGAAAGUGACACAGAAAGGGAGCUCAUGCAUGGGGAAAAAAAAUGUCAUUCUCCUUGCAGAGCUCAGAAAUCACAGUGCUACCUGCCUCACUGUGGUAUACAAUCUACAAAAUGUUUGUCACUACUGCCACAACCCACUCAGUAGGCUUAUCCAAGAACAGAUCAGGAACAAUGGCACUUCAGUCAGCAAGAUCUGUUCUUGUUUCAACUAUGUAUAAUUUCUGUCUAAGAACAGCAGAAAAAAUCAUGGAACAGAUUUCCAUACAUUACACUUCUGCAUUUGUAAUGGUGCUGUCAAGAGUUUGGAAGUGAUGUAGUUCUUUUUACAUUUCUUUCAUUGAGACUGAAGCAUGACAUUAACUGAAGGACAACAGACAGGUGGCAGUGUCAUGCUUUCACUGAAGGGACUCCUUAAAAUACACAUAAAUAAGAAAAGGGGGCUUAGUGGAACAAAAAUACAUAGUUAUGUGACAGUGAAGUGCACUUAAUGCAGAAAGUCUCUAAGAAGUUUCUUAGAAGUAGAGAACAGCACAUCUAUAUAACUUGAACAUAAUCCGACAGUAAAAUUCUGCAUUAGAUUAAAAAAUAGUAUAACGUAAUCUAAGAUAUUUUCAGCAACCUGGUUCUUGACAGUCAACUGUGAUUAAAUAGAUGUUAGGGAUCAAUGUCUUUGACAAAUAACUCUGGCAACUGAUUAUUAUUUUCCUGAAAAUAUUAUUUUUUUCAAAACAAGGCCAGUGCAGGAAGAUAUUGAAAAUGAAUUAAAAAAAUGAAUGGUCAUUUUACAAAGUCUGUUAUAAAAUUAAUAGUACACAGUUAAGUAAAGGUUGUAACACUACACAUGCUAUGUGUAACAUAAGCACCUUGAUUCAGUUUAUGUUAAGUUUUACAGAAUAAAGACAAAAUUAAUGUCCACCCCAAGUCCUAGACCAUAAGCUGCAGCCAUGAACAGCAUUUGAGUACUUUGAAACAUGGAAUGAAUAAGAUUUGUGGGGUAAAAUGUAGCCUAAUAAAACAGAAGAACGUUAGGUGCUUUUUAUUUACUAUAUGCUACUACCAGUGUAUUUGUUAAUAGCAUUAAGAAUUUCUCAUCAACUCAAUUAAUACUUGUUUUUAAAAAGUGAUAUUAGGAAAAAAUAAUCAUUAUUUUAUGUAGAUUACACUGAAAGUAAUGCCUCCUAUUUAUUUCAAUGACAAGUACAAUAGAAACAAAGCUCAAAAUAACACUAUUUUAUAGAGUAAAUCCUCAGCUACAAAUGUUAUUUUUCAUCACAGUUACCACCGUUAGCUAUGCAUUUUCACCAGCAACAAAUAAGAGUCUGCAUGCUGUGCUCAUAAAAAUCGGCACCAGCAGAGGUGACCCACUGUCAGUGUCACCACUACUGAAACAUACCACCCAUGGCCUCUAUGUACUCAGAUCCACUGUUUGGUCUUCAUAAAAGUUCAGCAAGUAUCAAUAAAUGUCAGUGGUUGCCAUUGUUUCUGCAUGGAGGAUUUCAAUUCCACACCUUUUCUUCAUCUGCACUUCUGUGUCAGAAACCAUUUUGUCAGACUUUCCUUCUGCUUCAGCAAGAUGUAAUAGAAUAAUGGAGGAAAGGUUCAGCCACUACUACAAAGAUGGUAUCAUCUUUGACACUGUGGGCCAACAUAAUAAAAUAGGAGACAUUACUUUUGGAGAAGUCCUCUUAUUUUCCAUAGGUGUUUACAAUGAUAUGCAUGCAUGUAUACACAUAUUAUCUGUAUUCCACUUUUUUUUUUUUUUUACUUGUAGUUUCCUGCAUGUAUAAAUGAUUAAAGAUCAACUUUUACCCAUAGAGUGCAUAGACUGCUUCAUCAGCACCUUGAGGAAAAGAACAUUAAUAAGGUGCAGAAGUGAGAUUAUAUAUGUUUGAGAAUUUUUAUUCUACUGUAAAUGCUGUAAAGGGAAAUGUCAUUAUAGGUCCUAUUAACAUGAAAGAUUUUGUAUGAAUGCCAGAAAGCAAGAUUUGGCAAGAAUUCUCCUUCUGUAUUUGAACUAUGUGCUCUCUUCUCAUGAAUCCUUGUGAUUUAACAAUCAAAUAUAUUUUGUACUUUCUCAUAGUGUCAUAUAAGAACCUUACAAAAGGCAUAAUUUCAAUUCAUAAGGAAAACAUUAAAAAUAUUUACUUU